rnacentral:rRNA from 1 species
AUUUAUUGAGCCUAAAGCGUUCGUAGCCGGUUUUGUAAAUCUUCAGAUAAAGCCUGAAGCUUAACUCCAGAAAGUCUGAAGAGACUGCAAGACUUGAGAUCGGGUGAGGUUAAACGUACUUUCAGGGUAGGGGUAAAAUCCUGUAAUCCCGGAAGGACGACCAGUGGCGAAAGCGUUUAACUAGAACGAAUCUGACGGUAAGGAACGAAGGCUAGGGUAGCAAACCGGAUUAGAUACCCGGGUAGUCCUAGCUGUAAACAUUGCCCAUUUGAUGUUGCUUUUCCGUUGAGGGAAGGCAGUGUCGGAGCGAAGGUGUUAAAUGGGCCGCUUGGGAAGUAUGGUCGCAAGACUGAAACUUAAAGGAAUUGGCGGGGGAGCACCGCAACGGGAGGAAUGUGCGGUUUAAUUGGAUUCAACGCCGGAAAACUCACCGGGAACGACCUGUGCAUGAGAGUCAACCUGACGAGCCUACUCGAUAGCAGGAGAGGUGGUGCAUGGCCGUCGUCAGCUCGUACCGUAGGGCGUUCACUCAAGUGUGAUAACGAGCGAGACCCACAUCUUUAAUUGCAAAUGUAUAUGAGAAUAUGCAUGCACUUU